rnacentral:rRNA from 1 species
UGGGGAAUAUUGCGCAAUGGGCGAAAGCCUGACGCAGCGACGCCGCGUGAGGGAUGAAGGUUUUCGGAUCGUAAACCUCUGUCAGAAGGGAAGAAACCGCACUGUGCUAAUCAGCAGUGCCUUGACGGUACCUUCAAAGGAAGCACCGGCUAACUCCGUGCCAGCAGCCGCGGUAAUACGGAGGGUGCAAGCGUUAAUCGGAAUUACUGGGCGUAAAGCGCACGUAGGCUGCUUUGUAAGUCAGGGAUGAAAUCCCACGGCUCAACCGUGGAACUGCCUUUGAUACUGCUUAGCUUGAAUCCGGGAGAGGGUGGCGGAAUUCCAGGUGUAGGAGUGAAAUCCGUAGAUAUCUGGAGGAACAUCAGUGGCGAAGGCGGCCACCUGGACCGGUAUUGACGCUGAGGUGCGAAAGCGUGGGGAGCAAACAGG